rnacentral:misc_RNA from 1 species
UCCGGCUUAUCACCGGCAGUCCCUCUAGAGUGCCCAACUCAAUGAUGGCAACUAAAGGCGAGGGUUGCGCUCGUUGCGGGACUUAACCCAACAUCUCACAACACGAGCUGACGACAGCCAUGCACCACCUGUGCUACGCCCUCGAAGGCGACUGCUUUUCGGCAGCUUGCAGUAGCAUGUCAAGCCCUGGUAAGGUUCUUCGCGUUGCAUCGAAUUAAGCCACAUGCUCCGCCGCUUGUGCGGGCCCCCGCCAAUUCCUUUGUGUUUUAAUCUUGCGAUCGUAGUUCCCAGGCGGUUCACUUAAUGCGUUAGCUGCGGCACCGAGGCAAAGCCCCAACACCUAGUGAACAUCGUUUAUGGCCAAGACUAC